rnacentral:lncRNA from 1 species
CCGCCUCUUCCAAGAGGAGGGGGAGGCUCAGCCACGCAUGGUCGAAGCCGCUCAGGGCAGUUACCAUCGCCCCCAAACACAGGGUUGUGAGUGGGGUCUGCUGCGGGGAAUGCACGCCAGAGAUCUCCAAGCAGUCACCCCCGCAGGCGGAGCGCCCACCUAAACACCAAGAGCUUUCCGCACCUGAACUUCGGGGGAACCCGCGCAGCCAAACUUUCCGCCGACUUCCAGCGAACUCCGGCCCCGGCCGCGCACCGAGCCCCGGGGGAGGAGAGGGAGGUAGGCGGGGAAGGGGAGGGGGCCGGUCUGGGGGGGGGGUCGGGGGAGGGCCAUGGCCCGACACCUACCGGCUCUCGGAGUCGUCCGAGCCGCCACCACCGCCGUCGCCGCGAGGCCGAGGGGGAGGGGCGGGGCGGGGAGCUGCGCUCCUCUCUGGGCACUGCCGCCGCGGUGCGCUCAGCUCCAGCCGCCCGCUGCGCCUGGGUCCGGAGCCGGAGUCGCGCCGCCGCGGCUGGCCCGAGGCGGGGAGGGGGGGGAGCCCGCAGCACCUGCCCCUCCUCCCCCUCCCCGCGGCCCAAAUUAAAAAACAACAAAAAGCAACUAAUCACCCCGGAGCGGAGCGCGGCGCGGCGGGCGGAGGGCUCAGCGUGCAGCGCCCGGACUCAGCAGGCGGCGCGCAUGCUGGGCGCGGGCUGGGCAGGGCUGGGACGCAGGGUCGGACUAUUGGGUUUUGAGGCUUCGCUGCUCUUCUUGCUCAGCUCAAACGCCUGCUUUCGCCGCCACCGCCGCCUCUGCUGCCGCCAGUGCCGCCGCCUCUACAUCCCCGCUCAGGCUUCGCCGCCUCUGCCGCCGCCGCCGCCGCCGCCGCCGCGCGCCCGCCCGGGCAGGAGCUCUGAACGCUGCCCGGGGGCUGCCGGCAAAACCUGGACCGGACUAGCCGCUCCCUCCCCCCCCCCUCCMCCYCGGCYCCCCUCCCUCCUCCUGCCGCCUCCCUCCCAGCGCAGCUCUGGCCACUUGGACGCCGCAGGCUCUGAGCUGGAGCCGCAGCCGCUGMGCCUGGAGCUCCCUGCGCCGUGGCGAGGUCCGCCUAGGUUCAGCUUCCCCGCGCUCCCUGCUUCACCCUUUUUUCGCGCAACUUUACAAAAAAAAAAAAAAAAAAGCCUCUCCCUUUUGUGA